rnacentral:rRNA from 1 species
UACGUAGGGCGCAAGCGUUGUCCGGAAUUAUUGGGCGUAAAGAGCUCGUAGGCGGUCUGUCGCGUCCGUUGUGAAAACUCGAGGCUCAACCUCGGGCUUGCAGUGGAUACGGGCAGACUAGAGUGCGGUAGGGGAGACUGGAAUUCCUGGUGUAGCGGUGGAAUGCGCAGAUAUCAGGAGGAACACCGGUGGCGAAGGCGGGUCUCUGGGCCGAUACUGACGCUGAGGAGCGAAAGCGUGGGGAGCGAACAGG